rnacentral:rRNA from 1 species
UGACCUCGGAUCAGGUAGGGAUACCCGCUGAACUUAAGCAUAUCAAUAAGCGGAGGAAAAGAAACCAACAGGGAUUGCCCCAGUAACGGCGAGUGAAGCGGCAAGAGCUCAAAUUUGAAAUCUGGCCUCCUCCGGGGGUCCGAGUUGUAAUUUGCAGAGGAUGCUUCGGGUGCGGCCCCCGUCUAAGUUCCUUGGAACAGGACGUCAGA